rnacentral:lncRNA from 1 species
AAAAUAUUUUUUAAAUGUCAAAAAAGAGAGAGAGAACUUCAGUUCAGAUUAUUAUUAACUUGAAUCUUCCAGAGCGCGAAUUGAAGAGAGUAUGCCCGCGUUGAUAUUUAGUCCAGUCUUCAAUGUAUUCAAUUUAUAAAUCAUAUAUGAUUCGCGCUGUUCACGCUCCCUUGUACUGGGGAAACCGCUUCGUAAUA